GCACCGCUGCCAUCCCCGCCACCCGCCGCGCGCCACGUGCAGUCACCCGGCACAUACAGUUAUCGCCAUUCCACAGAAGAGGAGACUGAGCCCCGGCGCCGUGCCCAAGCUCUCGCAGCCAGGACGGCGACGAGCUGGAGGUCUCAAAACCGGUCAGAUGGCUCCGGAGCCGGGAUCUUUAGCUCCAGCUCGGCUUCCUUUGGGUGCUGGUUGUCCGCAGCGCUGGGGGAUCUGACACUGCACCGGCGCAAACAGCCGCCGAGCGCUAAUAAUUGGGCUUUGUUUUAAAGUGGGCCACAGCAUCUUUCUGAACCUCUAGACUGUGCGCGGGGUGACCCACGUUCGGACGCCCAGCCAGUGGCCUAGGAGUGGCCUGCGUAGCCCCAACUCAAGGGUAUCGAGGACAAGUGCGCGAGGGGCUCCGUGGCUGCUUGCCGGGUGCGGGUACCUGGCGCCCAGCGACCCAAACCCUAUGGAUCGCGCGGGGCCGGCGGAAGGGAGGAGGGCGGGCGCUAGGCACACAGUGUUCCCGAACCCGGCGGGAGGGCCUGCCAAGUUCGCGGCGGGCGUGACGCGGAAACGUAGAUAAUGAGGCCCAGGGCGGGGCCGGACGCACUGCCCCGCGGGCUCCAGAGCUGCGAACGCCCCAGAGUGUGCAGGGAGGCCUGCAGAAAGAAAAUGCGGCUGAGGGUCCCCGUGGGACCCACUCAGAGGUGGGCCGUAAAGAUCCCGGAAGGGUGGAUGGCAUUAGAUACCACCUAGUACUCCAGCAAGGGCUGGGUCACCGAAUUGGGAUCUCGGCCUCUUCUUCCAGUCUGGGGA
rnacentral:lncRNA from 1 species